GACGAACGCUGGCGGCGUGCUUAACACAUGCAAGUCGAACGGUGAAGCGCCUUCCUUUUUGGUGGGUGUGGAUGAGUGGCGAACGGGCGAGUAACACGUGAGUAACCUGCCCCCUUCUUCUGGAUAACCGCAUGAAAGUGUGGCUAAUACGGGAUAUUCUGGGUCUGUCGCAUGAUGGGUCUGGGAAAGAUAUUGUUUCGGUGGGGGAUGGGCUCGCGGCCUAUCAGCUUGUUGGUGGGGUGAUGGCCUACCAAGGCGGUGACGGGUAGCCGGCCUGAGAGGGUGGACGGUCACACUGGGACUGAGACACGGCCCAGACUCCUACGGGAGGCAGCAGUGGGGAAUAUUGCACAAUGGGCGCAAGCCUGAUGCAGCGACGCCGCGUGAGGGAUGGAGGCCUUCGGGUUGUGAACCUCUUUCGCCAGUGAAGCAGGCCUGCCUCGUUUGUGGGUGGGUUGACGGUAGCUGGAUAAGAAGCGCCGGCUAACUACG
rnacentral:rRNA from 1 species